CCUACGGGAGGCAGCAGUGGGGAAUAUUGCGCAAUGGGCGAAAGCCUGACGCAGCGACGCCGCGUGAGGGAUGAAGGUCUUCGGAUCGUAAACCUCUGUCAGCAGGGAAGAACGGUCACUGUGCUAAUCAGCAGUGAAUUGACGGUACCUGCAAAGGAAGCACCGGCUAACUCCGUGCCAGCAGCUGCGGUAAUACGGAGGGUGCGAGCGUUAAUCGGAAUUACUGGGCGUAAAGCGGUCGUAGGCGGUAUGUCAAGUCAAGGGUGAAAUCCCCGCGCUCAACGUGGGAACUGCCUUUGAAACUGGCAGACUGGAGUGUGUGAGAGGAUAGUGGAAUUCGAGGUGUAGGAGUGAAAUCCGUAGAUAUCUGGAGGAACAUCGGUGGCGAAGGCGACUAUCUGGCACAUAACUGACGCUGAGGAGCGAAAGCGUGGGUAGCAAACAGGAUUAGAUACCCCAGUAGUC
rnacentral:rRNA from 1 species